AUUGAUUAUGUUUAUAGUUUCAUAUAUUUUUUCGUUUAUACAAUGAUCGACUUACGAAAACAUCAUUUAAUCAUAAGGUGUUUCAUGGAUUGAACCGUGCGUUUGCAAAUUUGGCACUUAAACAUUAUUAUAUUAAGUUUACUUUUGUAUGAAACGCUUAGCUUGACACAAAAUAUGAAGAAGCUUUAUCGGCAUCUAUAGUGACCAUUGGCAACGCGCAUGUCAACUCUGAAGUAGCAGGCGUCUACGGGCUACGGUGACUGCUUACUAUCAGGCGGAGUGAUAAGGGCACUCACUAUCACAGCGACCAUCAUUCGAUGCGAGAGGUGUCCAUGGGCGGCAGUGAUCGCUUACCAUCAGGUGAUCCGUCUGCUCGUUUGCCUACUCUAUCAUUAAAAAAAAGUGUGGGGCUUAGUCAAUUUGUGUAAGAGUGUCGUAUAAUAGUUGUCGGAACUUUGACAUUUGUGGCAGUAAUCCAGUCGACAGAGCAGCGCCGGAAUACAGCCAUUACUGCGGCUGGGACAUCCUGAAUCCAGACGUCACCUUUACUCUCGUAAUACAGCCCUGAAUAGCAGCCUUAAAGCUUCAAAACAGAAAAUACCACGCACCCAUUUGACGUGCCUCAAGAAUGCAAAUCGCCGUGCGGCCGAUAAAUCCCGGUUCAUAUUUAUUCGGGCCUGGUUACUCUGAUUGGUCCGCAUUUGCUCCCGAUUUAUCGCCAUGGCCUAAUUUAUGUUUGUAAGUAAACCCGUGCUUUGUUGCGGCUUGAGCACGUCCGUGUGUUGUUAUACUAUACAGGUGGCCCAAAAUAGGUUGACAGUAUUUUAUUUAAUAGGACACUGAAAUAAAAUUGGCACCCGUUUUCUCUAUGGAAUCCUAAGUUGAGGUCUGUUUACAAUUAUACCGUAAUAGCUAGAGCCACAGCGGCACAAAUUGGGAGAGUAAUCUUAUACAUUGAGUAAAAAAGUAUCUACAUAUAUCAUUUAAGGAUUAAUAAAGCCUUAAUCUAUCAAGCUGGGUAUUAAUACCAGCAAAUGUCUGUAAAUAACGAAAUUAAUUUUACUGUGAAAAUGCAUGUAAAGGAGUUUUAUCUACUUCCAGUAACUGACUUACUCGACAUAUAUGUACCGGAAUGGUGCCCCAAAGCAAUCAGACAAAAUUUCCAGAUGCAAUAAAAUUAUUUGCUUGGAAAUCUUCUUCAUUAUGUUUUUAAGAACUAUUUAACACAUUUUAGAAAAAGGUCACUUCUGUGGACAACACAAUAGAAUUUUACGUCUCUUCUACUCUUAUAUUAUCUAGUACUUAUACAGGGUGGACAAAUAAGAAUGAUACACUUUGUUUUUAAAUUUUAAUUACCUUCAGCGGAAAUUUUAUUAAAUAUUUUUUCAUACUUAUAUUAUCAGGGUUGGCAAUUGUAUACGGAAGAUAAUUUCUGCCAAAUGUAUACCACUAGCAGCAAGCAAUUUUAUCUCAAAUGUUUCUGUUGUUUAAAACACGUUGUUUGCUCGAUUAAUUUUGAAAAAAAGUGACAGUGCAAUUGGCAACCAAAUUCCCCAAAUUUUGCAGCUCUUGACUUAUUUCUGUGGGGCUAUUUAAAAUUACGUGUCUAUGCUAACGAGCUGAUGAAAUUUAAAACCGACUA